rnacentral:rRNA from 1 species
GAGUUUGAUCUUGGCUCAGAUUGAACGCUGGCGGAAUGCUUUACACAUGCAAGUCGAGCGGCAGCGCGGGGCAACCUGGCGGCGAGCGGCGAACGGGUGAGUAAUGCAUCGGAACAUGUCCAUGUCGUGGGGGAUAGCCCGGCGAAAGCCGGAUUAAUACCGCAUACGCCCGAGAGGGGAAAGUGGGGGACCGCAAGGCCUCACGCGAUUGGGUUGGCCGAUGUCCGAUUAGCUAGUUGGCGGGGUAAUGGCCCACCAAGGCGAUGAUCGGUAGCUGGUCUGAGAGGAUGAUCAGCCACACUGGGACUGAGACACGGCCCAGACUCCUACGGGAGGCAGCAGUGGGGAAUUUUGGACAAUGGGGGCAACCCUGAUCCAGCCAUUCCGCGUGAGUGAAGAAGGCCUUCGGUUGUAAGCUCUUUGUCCGGACGAACGGUAGAGCGUGAUAUCGCUCGCUACUGACGGUACCGGAA